UCGAUGUCGGCUCAUCACAUCCUGGGGCUGAAGUAGGUCCCAAGGGUAUGGCUGUUCGCCAUUUAAAGUGGUACGCGAGCUGGGUUUAGAACGUCGUGAGACAGUUCGGUCCCUAUCUGCCGUGGGCGCUGGAGAAUUGAGGGGGGCUGCUCCUAGUACGAGAGGACCGGAGUGGACGCAUCACUGGUGUUCGGGUUGUCAUGCCAAUGGCAUUGCCCGGUAGCUAAAUGCGGAAGAGAUAAGUGCUGAAAGCAUCUAAGCACGAAACUUGCCCCGAGAUGAGUUCUCCCUGACCCUUUAAGGGUCCUGAAGGAACGUUGAAGACGACGACGUUGAUAGGCCGGGUGUGUAAGCGCAGCGAUGCGUUGAGCUAACCGGUACUAAUGAACCGUGAGGCUUAACCUUACAACGCCGAAG
rnacentral:rRNA from 1 species